rnacentral:rRNA from 1 species
CCUACGGGGUGCUGCAGUGGGGAAUAUUGGACAAUGGGCGAAAGCCUGAUCCAGCCAUGCCGCGUGUGUGAAGAAGGCCUUCGGGUUGUAAAGCACUUUCAGUGGGGAAGAAAGCCUUGGGGCUAAUACCCUCGAGGAAGGACAUCACCCACAGAAGAAGCACCGGCUAACUCCGUGCCAGCAGCCGCGGUAAUACGGAGGGUGCGAGCGUUAAUCGGAAUUACUGGGCGUAAAGCGCGCGUAGGCGGUCUGAUAAGCCGGUUGUGAAAGCCCCGGGCUCAACCUGGGAACGGCAUCCGGAACUGUCAGGCUAGAGUGCAGGAGAGGAAGGUAGAAUUCCCGGUGUAGCGGUGAAAUGCGUAGAGAUCGGGAGGAAUACCAGUGGCGAAGGCGGCCAUCUGGACUGACACUGACGCUGAGGUGCGAAAGCGUGGGUAGCAAACAGGAUUAGAUACCCCAGUAGUC